GACGAACGCUGGCGGCGUGCUUAACACAUGCAAGUCGAACGGAAAGGCCCUGCUUUUGUGGGGUGCUCGAGUGGCGAACGGGUGAGUAACACGUGAGUACCUGCCCUUGACUUUGGGAUAACUUCAGGAAACUGGGGCUAAUACCGGAACGGAGCUCCUGCUGCAUGGUGGGGGUUGGAAACUUUAGGCGGUUGGGGAUGGACUCGCGGCUUAUCAGCUUGUUGGGUGGGUAGGGGCAUACCAAGGCUUGGACGGGUAGCCGGCCUGAGAGGGUGACCAGCCUCAUUGGGACUGCGAUAGGGACCAGACUCCAAUGGGAGGCAGCAGUGGGGAAUAUUGCACAAUGGGCGGGCGUCUGAUGCAGAAGCGCCGCGUGCGUGAUGACGGCCUGCGGGUUGUAAACCGCUGUCGCCUGUGACGAAGCGGGAGUGACGGUAAUGGGUAAAGAAGCACCGGCUAACUACGUG
rnacentral:rRNA from 1 species